ACACAUAUAUUCCAAAGUUCCAAGGGUUACUUUGUUUAUGAUGUAUGAUUUACAUAUACGUCGUUACAAAAAUGUGGCAUUAUGAGUCAAUUUUUUGUCAUUUGUCGAGGAACAAAGGAUUGAAAAAAUGAAGGAUUAGUUUACCAAUAUUCGGUGUAAUAGGGUUUUCCAAACAAAUUUGUAUUUAGAAGCACAUGGAGGGAUAUCUUUAUGUAUAUCAAUGUUUCCUGGGGAAAAUAUCUACGAUAAUGUCACUGGGUCUAACAAUUGGUAAAUAUACUAACAUCGUCGUCAUUGUCCUUACCAGGUUUUUGUGUUAAGUUAUGGUACCAUUUAGAUAUCUAGGGAUGUGAUAAUUUAUUUUGAGGAUAUAUAUUACCGAAAAAUCUAGCGAUUCGGAAUUUAUUUAGAAAUCGAUUGUUUAAUGUUGUUUGCUUAUGUACGAGUUAACUCCCUUGGAUAGUGAUUUACUUUUAAUUUUGUAAUUACAUGAUUUGAAAAUGAUUUAUUUACAACUCUGUUACAAAUGUGUCUUCUACAUGUGUGUAAGAUAGGAACAACCGUGUGGCAUUUAAUGUGAUAAAACCAAAAUAUAAACGUUUAACGUGUAGAGAAUAUUUUUUGAAAGGUAGUAAACUUAGUCACACUCCGUAUUUUUAUCUACAUUCUUUUACAGAUAUCAUAACAAUACAGAGUUCAUACUAAUACUUAUGUUGGAGUUCAUUAAUUUAAUAUUAUUCCCAUAUUGACUUAGCUUCUGAAACCAUAAUAUGUGGUUAAAUGUAAUUUUUUCAUAAAUUUAAAAGUCAUAGAAUUUUGAAAACGAGCUUUCAUUAUCACUGGAUACCUGCUUGGUUAGCCUGCCUUACACACAUUUUUGUCAUGACAUCAAUAAUGUUUUGUACAGUUUUCAUUAUUAUGAUAUUUUUAUGUGUCACCAAUAUUUUGACCAAUUCUCCAUAUGUUUUGUAUAUAAUUAUUGUCUAUGGUUUUUUUUAGACAUGGCGUGUCUGUGAUUUGUAUCCCAUGAAGCUGAGUCCUUCGUCAAUAAUCUGUCUGUCCUUCAUCUACUUCUGUCGUUCGUCUAUCCUUCGUCUAUCCUUUGUCGUCCUAUCCUUUGUCUGUCUCUGUCGUUCUUUCCUUUGUCUAUUCUCUGUCGUUCUUUCCUUUGUCUAUCCUCUGUCGUUCUUUCCUUUGUCUACCCUCUGUCGUUGUUUCCUUUGUCUGUCCUCCUGUCGUUCUUUCCUUUGUCUACCCUCUGUCGUUCUUUCCUUUGUCUGUCCUCUGUCGUUGUUUCCUUUGUCUACCCUCUGUCGUUCUUUUCUUUGUUUAUCCUCUGUCGUUGUUUCCUUUGUUUAUCCUCUGUCUUUCUUUUCUUUAUCUAUCCUGUGUCGUUUUCCCCUUUAUCUUUCCUCUCUCGUUCUUUCCUUUAUCUAUCCUGUGUCGUUCUUUCCUUUAUCUAUCUUCUCUCGUUCUUUCCUUUGUCUACCCUUUGUCGUUCUUUUCUUUGUUUAUCCUCUGUCGUUCUUUCCUUUGUCCGUCCUCUGUCGUUCUUUCCUUUGUCCGUCCUCUGUCGUUCUUUCCUUUGUCUACCCUCUGUCGUUCUUUCCUUUGUCUACCCUUUGUCGUUCUUUUCUUUGUUUCUCCUCUGUCGUUCUUUUCUUUGUUUAUCCUCUGUCGUUCUUAUCUUCGUAUAUCAUUUUGUCGUAAAGUCAGUUGUCCAUCCUAUGUCGUUUGGUCCUUUGUCUGUCUUAAUCGUUCUUUCUUUCGUUUAUGCUCACAAGUCACGAGAUAAAAUCGAUUAACCCGUUGAUUGUUAUUUGAAAGUUAUUGAACAUUAUGAUUAAAUACUACAAUCGCAAAUAUCUUGAAUAAUAAAAUAAUAAUGUUCUUUUGUUUUUCGGAUAUUAUUUUCAAAACUUCUACGCGCUAAUGAUAUCAUAGUUAGGGACUUUAGUUGAUAACCAUUUGACUUCUUCAAGCAGGUGAGCGAUACAGGUACAAUGGACCCUUUUUUUACCUUAACCUUUUUAAUUAUUGGUAUUAUGUUAUUGAUAUCUUAUGAUUGAUAAUGUUGAUAUAUACUGAUGAAUAUCAAGCCUUUAUUUAGUUUGCCGAACACAAACAGUGUGGAACAGAAAACACCCUGGGCGAUACUCCAAGAAUGAACAGUCAUUCGGCUGACUUCAAUUUGAGAAAAGGCAAAAGUCAGGAUGCGACUUCCCCUGAUUUGAUCUAGAUUUAUAUGAUGUCGUCAAUGAAGCAGAAGACGUUUACCUUUUGGAACACAUGGGCCAAGUUGUUCAAAGGUGAUGAGCCUUAUCACUUGGUGGAGGUCUUGGAAGACGGUGAUUAACGCAUAUAGAACGACAGAGUUGUCACAUCAUCGGUGACUGCAUAAGGUAUAAUGGAUACUAUACUCGAACAAGUGUGACCUGGUGGACUGUUAUAGACUGUCAAAGUAAAGGAUUGAUAUAAAGGACCUCUCCAAAGUUUACCUGACAUCAAAGCUUGAUGUAUAACGAAUUAUUUUGAUAGUGAUUUAAAUUGACUUUUUAGUUACAUGUUCAAAUAAAAUGUAGUAGUUAGUGGUAUAAUAAUAUAUCACGGGUCAAGGUCACAACAAUAUAACCCCCGUAGCGUCAUUGGCAAUAUUGAAAUAGAAUCAGACGACUGAAACGAAAUCAUCAACAUUAAACAAUUAUUUCUAAUUACAUGACUUUAAAAAUCUGAGCCUAUGAAAGGAGAAUAUUGUCUGGAAAAGGUCAUGCAGAUUUAGCAAAUUUGAAAAUACUAAAUAGAC